rnacentral:rRNA from 1 species
GGUUGCGAUCAUACCAGCACUAAUGCACCGAAUCCCAUCAGAACUCCGCAGUCAAGCGUGCUUGGGCGAGAGUAGUACUAGGAUGGGUGACCCCCUGGGAAGUCCUCGUGUUGCAACCC